GUGGAUGUAGCUCAGUUGGUAGAGCGCUGGUUUGUGGUACCGGUUGUCGUGGGUUCGAGCCCCAUCAUCCACCCCA
rnacentral:tRNA from 2 species